rnacentral:rRNA from 1 species
GAGAGGGCGACCGGCCACAUUGGGACUGAGACACGGCCCAAACUCCUACGGGAGGCAGCAGUGGGGAAUAUUGCACAAUGGGGGAAACCCUGAUGCAGCGACGCCGCGUGAGCGAAGAAGUAUUUCGGUAUGUAAAGCUCUAUCAGCAGGGAAGAUAAUGACGGUACCUGACUAAGAAGCCCCGGCUAACUACGUGCCAGC